rnacentral:tRNA from 1 species
GCCGAAGUGGCGGAACUGGCAGACGCGCACGGUUGAGGGCCGUGUGAGGCGACUCGUGGGGGUUCGAGUCCCCCCUUCGGCA